rnacentral:rRNA from 1 species
GUGGGGAAUUUUGGACAAUGGGCGCAAGCCUGAUCCAGCAAUGCCGCGUGCAGGAAGAAGGCCUUCGGGUUGUAAACUGCUUUUGUACGGAACGAAACGGUCCUGGCUAAUAUCCGGGGCUAAUGACGGUACCGUAAGAAUAAGCACCGGCUAACUACGUGCCAGCAGCCGCGGUAAUACGUAGGGUGCGAGCGUUAAUCGGAAUUACUGGGCGUAAAGCGUGCGCAGGCGGUGCUGUAAGACAGGCGUGAAAUCCCCGGGCUCAACCUGGGAAUUGCGCUUGUGACUGCAGUGCUGGAGUGCGGCAGAGGGGGAUGGAAUUCCGCGUGUAGCAGUGAAAUGCGUAGAUAUGCGGAGGAACACCGAUGGCGAAGGCAAUCCCCUGGGCCUGCACUGACGCUCAUGCACGAAAGCGUGGGGAGCAAACAGGAUUAGAAACCCAGUAGUCC